rnacentral:rRNA from 1 species
AUUGAACGCUGGCGGCAGGCUUAACACAUGCAAGUCGAGCAGUAGCACAGGGGAGCUUGCUCCCUGGGUGACGAGCGGCGGACGGGUGAGUAAUGUCUGGGAAACUGCCUGAUGGAGGGGGAUAACUACUGGAAACGGUAGCUAAUACCGCAUAACGUCGCAAGACCAAAGAGGGGGACCUUCGGGCCUCUUGCCAUCAGAUGUGCCCAGAUGGGAUUAGCUAGUAGGUGGGGUAAUGGCUCACCUAGGCGACGAUCCCUAGCUGGUCUGAGAGGAUGACCAGCCACACUGGAACUGAGACACGGUCCAGACUCCUACGGGAGGCAGCAGUGGGGAAUAUUGCACAAUGGGCGCAAGCCUGAUGCAGCCAUGCCGCGUGUGUGAAGAAGGCCUUCGGGUUGUAAAGCACUUUCAGCGAGGAGGAAGGUGGUGAGCUUAAUACGUUCAUCAAUUGACGUUACUCGCAGAAGAAGCACCGGCUAACUCCGUG